rnacentral:rRNA from 1 species
GACGAACGCUGGCGGCGUGCUUAACACAUGCAAGUCGAGCGGUAAGGCCCUUUCGGGGGUACACGAGCGGCGAACGGGUGAGUAACACGUGGGUGACCUGCCCUCAGCUCUGGGAUAAGCCUGGGAAACUGGGUACUAAUACUGGAUAUGACUCCACGGUGCAUGGUCGUGGGGUGAAAGCCUUGUGCGGCUGAGGAUGGGCCC